rnacentral:rRNA from 1 species
GACGAACGCUGGCGGCGUGCUUAACACAUGCAAGUCGAACGAUGAAGCCUAGCUUGCUAGGUGGAUUAGUGGCGAACGGGUGAGUAAUACGUGAGUGACCUACCUUUGACUCUGGGAUAAGCCUGGGAAACUGGGUCUAAUACCGGAUACGACCAAUCUCCGCAUGGGGUGUUGGUGGAAAGCGUUAUGGAGUGGUUUUAGAUGGGCUCACGGCCUAUCAGCUUGUUGGUGAGGUAAUGGCUUACCAAGGCGACGACGGGUAGCCGGCCUGAGAGGGUGACCGGCCACACUGGGACUGAGACACGGCCCAGACUACUACGGGAGGCAGCAGUGGGGAAUAUUGCACAAUGGGCGCAAGCCUGAUGCAGCGACGCCGCGUGAGGGAUGACGGCCUUCGGGUUGUAAACCUCUGUUAGCAUCGAAGAAGCGAAAGUGACGGUAGGUGCAGAGAAAGCGCCGGCUAACUACGUG